AUCGCUUCUCGGCCUUUUGGCUAAGAUCAAGUGUAGUAUCUGUUCUUAUCAGGGCCAAAACUGCUUGAGCAGAGCAGAAACUCACGUCAAAACCUUU
rnacentral:snRNA from 1 species